GUUUCAGAUUGGGGUAUUUGCCUUUUGAUAUUACGCAGUAGAACAUUGUGACAAAACAGACAAUAGUAAGUUGACGAGGAUUGAAACAUCGCUGACAACGUGUGAUUUGCGUAAAAUCUGUGAGCUUCACCGAUUCACAUACGGAUUCUUGCUGCACUGAGGUCUCACGAUUUGAAUAUCAUAAGGAAAAGAGGUAAGAG